rnacentral:rRNA from 1 species
GACGUAGGGCGCGAGCGUUGUCCGGAUUUAUUGGGCGUAAAGAGCUCGUAGGCGGCUUGUCGCGUCGAAUGUGAAAUCUCAGGGCUCAACUCUGACAUUGCAUUCGAUACGGGCAGGCUAGAGUUCGGUAGGGGAGACUGGAAUUCCUGGUGUAGCGGUGAAAUGCGCAGGAUAUCAGGAGGAACACCGGUGGCGAAGGCGGGUCUCUGGGC